AUUGAACGCUGGCGGCAUGCCUUACACAUGCAAGUCGAACGGCAGCACGGGAGCAAUCCUGGUGGCGAGUGGCGAACGGGUGAGUAAUAUAUCGGAACGUGCCCAGUCGUGGGGGAUAACGUAGCGAAAGCUACGCUAAUACCGCAUACGAUCUAUGGAUGAAAGCGGGGGAUCGCAAGACCUCGCGCGAUUGGAGCGGCCGAUAUCAGAUUAGGUAGUUGGUCGGGUAAAGGCUCACCAAGCCAACGAUCUGUAGCUGGUCUGGGAGGACGGCCGGCCACACUGGGACUGAGGCACGGCCCAGACUCGUACGGGAGGCAGCAGUGGGGAAUUUUGGACAAUGGGCGCAAGCCUGAUCCAGCAAUGCCGCGUGCAGGAAGAAGGCCUUCGGGUUGUAAGCUGCUUUUGUACGGAACGAAACGGUCCUGGUUAAUACCUGGGGCUAAUGACGGUACCGUAAGAAUAAGCACCCGCUAACUACGUGCCAGCCGCCGCAGUAAGAC
rnacentral:rRNA from 1 species